rnacentral:ncRNA from 1 species
AAGAAAAAGGCAAACCAUGGCGAAAGCCUGGGACGCAAAGCUUCCGGCCUCACACGGUAUAUAUUUUACGUGUUGGUAGCGGAGUUACCGAA